rnacentral:rRNA from 1 species
GUGAAAUUGUUGAAAGGGAAACGCUUGAAGUCAGUUAUGUUGGCUAGGGAUCAACCUAGCUAUUUUUGCUGGGUGAAUUUUCUAGUCUGACAGGCCAACAUCAGUCUUGACUGCUGGAAAAGAGCAGAGGGAAUGUGGCACCUUUGGGUGUGUUAUAGCCCUUUGUCAUAUGUAGCAGUUGGGACUGAGGGAUGCAGCGUGCCGCGAGGCUGGGUUUCGACCACGUUCACGCUUAGGAUGUUGGCUUUUAAUGGCUUCAAUCGACCCGUCUUGAAACACGGACCAAGGAGUCUAACAUGCCUGCGAGUGUUUGGGUGGAAAACCCUUGCGCACAAUGAAAGUGAAAGUUGAGAUCCCUGUCAUGGGGAGCAUUGACGCCCGGACCUGAGCUUUUAGCAAUGGAUCCGCGGUAGAGCAUGCAUGUUGGGACCCGAAAGAUGGUGAACUAUGCCUGAAUAGGGCAAAGCCAGAGGAAACUCUGGUGGAGGCUCGUAGCGAUUCUGGCGUGCAAAUCGAUCGUCAAAUUUGGGUAUAGGGGCGAAAGACUAAUCGAACCAUCUAGUAGCUGGUUCCUGCCGAAGUUUCCCUCAGGAUAGCAGAAGCUCAUUAUCAGAUUUAUGUGGUAAAGCGAAUGAUUAGAGGCCUUGGGGUUGAAACAACCUUAACCUAUUCUCAAACUUUAAAUAUGUAAGAACGAGCUGUCACUUGAUUGGACUGCUCGGUGAUUGAGAGCUUCUAGUGGGCCAUUUUUGGUAAGCAGAACUGGCGAUGCAGGAUGAACCGAUCGCA